rnacentral:misc_RNA from 1 species
GAAAUGCGAUAAGUAGUGUGAAUUGCAGAAUUCAGUGAAUCAUCGAAUCUUUGAAUGCACAUUGCGCCCCUUGGUAUUCCAUGGGGCAUGCCUGUUCGAGCGUCAUUUGUACCCUCAAGCUCUGCUUGGUGUUGGGUGUUUGUCCCCGUCUCCGCGCGUGGACUCGCCCCAAAGUGAUUGGCAGCCGGCGUACUGGUCCCGGAGCGCAGCACAUGUCGCGCAAACGAGUGCCUUGGUACGGCGGCGUCCAUAAGCCCCUCUCUCACGCUCUUGACCUCGGAUCAGGUAGGGAUACCCGCUGAACUUAAGC